AUGGCGGGGGAGGCAGAAAGGAGGAAACGCGCGGCGGUGGUUGUGCUGGGCGACAUCGGCCGCAGUCCCCGGAUGCAGUACCACUCCCUCUCCCUCGCCAGCCAGGCUGGUAUGGAAGUGGACAUUGUUGCAAACGGAGGAAGUGGUCCCCAUUUAUCACUGAGAGAGAAUCCGUCGAUUCACAUCCAUGAGAUGAAAUCAGUGCAGUUAUCAGGAGUUUCAAAGAUAUCUGGGGCCCUGGCACUGCUACUUAAAGCUGCCAUCCAGUUUAUCAUGCUGAUUUGGUUUCUCUGCUUUAAGAUUCCUCGCCCUGAUGUCUUCAUUGUUCAGAAUCCACCCUCCGUUCCAACAUUGGCUGCUGUAAAAGUGGUUAGCUGGCUAAGAGGUGCUAAAUUUAUUGUGGAUUGGCAUAACUUUGGAUAUACUUUGCUUGGAUUGUCUCAUGGCAGAAGUAACGUAAUAGUCAAAAUUUAUUUCUGGUUCGAGAAGCACUUUGGGCGGAUGGCUGAUGGUGCCUUUUGUGUUACAAAAGCAAUGCAACACGAGCUUUCUCAAAAUUGGGGAAUCAAAGCAACAGUUCUUUAUGAUCAUUCUCCUGAAUUUUUCCAUCCUGCUUCCUUGACGGAGAAAUAUGAGUUGUUCUGCAGGUUGGGUACUUCCAUUUGUAGUGCUAUGGGCAGUGCUGAUUGCAUCUCUGUUGAAAAAGAAGUGGAAGACAAGAGCACUACUGUGCUUACUAGCAAGAUUGAUGGUGGAGUUUUUUUUAAGCCUAAUAGACCUGCACUUGUUAUGAGCAGCACAAGCUGGACACCAGAUGAAGAUUUCAGUAUACUUCUGGAAGCAGCACUGAUGUAUGAUAGACGUGUUGCUGCAACAUUAGGUGAAGAGGAUUCAAUGGAUGAGGGGCAGCUUUGGAUUGAUAUCAAGAGCGGGAAGCAAUUUGAUUACCCGAGAUUGCUUUUCAUUAUCACAGGUAAAGGGCCUGAUAGAAAGAAAUAUGAGGAACAGAUAAAAAGGUUAAAACUGAGACGUGUUGCCUUCCGGACUAUGUGGCUUGCAUCGGAGGACUAUCCUCUAUUGCUAGGAUCAGCUGAUCUAGGCGUAUCGUUGCAUACAUCCUCGUCGGGGCUUGAUCUACCUAUGAAGGUGGUUGAUAUGUUUGGAUGUGGAUUACCAGUUUGUGCUGCUUCAUUCUCCUGCAUCGAGGAGCUUGUGAAAGUAAACAGAAAUGGACUUCUUUUCUCAACAUCUUCGGAGCUUGCAGACGAACUUAUGAUGCUCUUUAAGGGAUUUCCAGAGGAAUGUGACACCUUGAAAUCUCUGAAUAGUGGUGCCUUGAGUACAGGGUCAUCUUCCAAAUGGUCAACAGAAUGGGAAACUAAUGCACUUCCUUUGGUGAAGCAGGUGAUUGGCUAA
rnacentral:rRNA from 1 species